UUUCAUUCUAUAGAUAAUACAUGCACCAAUCUAGCUAGUAUCGUUCGCGCCGUGUAGCAGUCCGCACGCGGGUAUACAAUAACAAGUUGUUUUGCAAGCGUGUAACCGUGUAUCGUAAUUAAGUGUUUGUUCCUCCGAAUGCCAGUGAAGUGCUUAAUAAACCAAUCCAUUUAAAGGCGUACGAGCAGACGUAUAGCAGCGGAGCAGCAUCCAGGAUAGCCAUACUAGCAUGAUGAGAAUCACUUGCUGUGCCUUGGUGACUGAUGCGCAUAAUUCUUGAUAGGAUAUAUUCCAGGAUAUUAAAUUCCCUCAUCAAUGUAUAGGUAUGUGUGCCAUAAAUUUUUUACGGAAAUUUACGCCGGUUUAACUUAAAUUGAUUAUUCUAUUUGAGUGAUAUGAAAUUUGUAUGUAUCAUCUUGCAAAUUACAAACACAUUGUAGAUAGCAUGUUUACUACAAACACUGUUUUAAAAAAGUAUCUGAAGAUUAUUAAAAUUGGCAAUAUUUAUCCACACUCACUUUGCCGUCGGCCGUCGGCUCAGCCAUCUUAUCGUAGAACACGUGAAUGUUUUAAAUCGAUUUACAUUCUUUAGCAUCAUUAAAUUAAGAAGUUUCUUGUUGACCGCGUGAAAUCUUGUACGUUGAAUAGUUUUUCGUUUUCCUAGUUUCCGUACAUCUUAAUAUUUACAAAAGAAAAAUAGUUAUUUUUAUCCUCUCUAACAACUGUAUUGCUUCGCGCUGUCGCUUGCCGUCAGCUGAUUUAAAUGUUUUCUGCCGGAUAUUCUAUCAAUUUAUGAUGAUACUCGUACUUCAUCUGUCGGUUACUUUAUGCAGUUGAUGCAUCAAUUAAUAAAUAUACAUUUACAAUAUGUUAAAAUGUUAGUGUUUUAUUUUCGUACCAUCUUUUUGCUCAAUUUCCCGAUGAUUUUCUGGUAAAAUCUUGGAUUUUCUAUUAAAAUAUUGUUGUUUAUUUGUAAAUUUCUCUCUUCUUGUUGUGAAUAUUAACUCCCUUUGUAGUUUCUAAAGUUUUCUUUUUGUAACACAAUGUAUAUUAGUUUUCUUAACACUACGUACAAAAUCGCCGGUAUUUGUGAGUUUUGAGUGUUCUUUGUUUCAACUAGAAAUUUUCUUUCUAAAACACCCUGUAUACUCAUGUUUUCUUUGUGUCCGUGAAAAUUUUGCUUUAACUGUUGUUUUUAGGGUUUUUCUCAUUGCCCUUUGAAUUUUCUUUUUGUAACACCCUGUAUAUUAGUUUCCCUAAUCGUUGAGUGAAAACGAGCGACGUUUGUCGUGUUUAGAGUUUUUUGUGUGCACUUUAAAUUUUCAUUUUGCAACACCCUGUAUAUCUGUUUCCAUUUUCAAUCACGUAGAAAAUUGACAAUUUGCUAAUUCCUUUAUCCCGGUAGAACUUUACUAAGUGGUACUUGCUUAUAAGUGCGCGGCUAAGCAGGUCGUAAAUCCUGUUUCAAUAUGGCGACAUGUAUUUUGUUGACUUGUAAAAUCUAAACUUGUAUUUUAUUAUUAAUAAAGAAAUGUUAAGAAA